ACGCUGGCACGAGAAAAUUUGCAUUCCAACUUCACAGUGCUGCAACUAAAAGCGUUUUUCUUAUUUGUAUAUUCAUUAUUGCCAAAUAUUACAGCAUUCUCCAACCAGUAGUGAAUAUAUUGCAAGCCAAGAACAAUGAUGUGAUGAAAUGUAGAGAUCACAUCAAUAACCUUUUAAAUUUAUUUGAGGAACAUCGAGAGACAUCUGCCAGCGAAUUUGAAAAGAUUUUUAGAGACUGUGAAAAGUUAGCUGAGAAUGCAUCGCUCAAUAUACAUAAGUGUGCCCAGAGUCGUCGAGAAGCAAACAAAAAGAUCAAAUCCUCCAUUCCCGACAACAGCAGAGUAUUACCGCCGGGCAAUUUUCAUUCCAUAUUUGGACUCUUUAAUAACAUCUAUUAGAGAACGAUUUCCUAAAGAAAACACUCCAACUUUUGAUCUCGAAGCCUUAAGUCCACUGCAUAUGAAAACUAUCUCACUUUUUACAAUAUAAAACAAAUUUUGGAAAGAUAAGGAAGGAUUUUUAUCCGAGUAUAAGGGAGCGACUUGAAAUUCUGUUCGCAAUCCCUGCACAACUGCCACUGUUGAACGGUCGUUCAGCACUCUCAGAAGAGUAAAGACAUGGCUGAGAACAACAACGGGAGAGAAUCGGUUGGGUGGAUUGUGCAUGCUUUGCACCCACCGAGCUUUAGUCAAAGAGAAUCAAGCGGAAAUGGAAACGAAAAUUCUGGAGGAGUUUUCAGCGAAUCCAAGAAAACUUUUAUUAGCAUGAAAGCCCCACCCAACAUGCGGACCUGGCUACGCCCUUGUAGUCGCUUCUUACGACAGGCAUCACCUACCAUUGGUAUAUUCUUGGAAAACCCCGUACUCACUUUGGCAAUAAUACCUUUUUUUUGUGUUUAAUUUUUUUUUGUAAAUGUAAUUAUCCCCAAUAAAUGCCCUUAAA